AGUAAAAAUUAAGCGUAGAACGUGGGCACACCCAUCCCGUUAUCAUUUCAUAAUACAUCGGAAAGCUACUCUGGUCACUACCUACUGCACCUUCCACUUUUCGAGCCAUACCUACAGGUCACUAUCUGGCUUCCCUACAUGCAACAAAGUUAGGCAUCGCCAACCGUGACAGUUCCAGGCAAUAUGAUCAACCUGAGGUCAUCGAAACCCUGGAACAUCUCAUCUGCAACUGCCCAGCUCUUUUAUUGGCAAGGAGGAAAUACCUGGGCGCCCAGGUGCUGGCAUCGCUGGAAGAGGACGCAACAGGAACUACUCGCCUAUGCAAAAACACUUGGAUUCUCGAGGACUUUAAAAUCACAUGCGUGUCCCCGUUGAGGGCCGUGCUUGGAUUUAUAAAGAGGUAGUCAAAGGAAUUUGAUGACCCCUGUAUAACGAAGACACUCUAUUAUUAGGGCUAACAUCUAUUUUUCGCGAUCGGUUCGUUUAACGCGUCGUGCGCAAUGUGGCGGCGGCACUCGGUC